GGCUGCUACUACCUUCCACUCAUCCCUGGGUGGGCAUUCCUUUAUCUCACUCUUCAUGGGGUGGCCAAGGGGCAGCCCUACCUGGGAUUCCUGGAGCUACCUUGCUAAAGCCCUGGGGUUAUAGGAGAGAGGGAUGAGGAAAAAAUUCCCAACACCUGCGAGAGUGCGCACAGCCUUGAUGAGCAGAGACUCCUCUCUAUGGUUUUAGAGCUUUAUUGUAGAAAUGCAGGGGGCAAGAGAGAAGGUAGAAAGAGAGAGAGAGAGAGAGAGAGAGAGAGAGAGAGAGAGAGAGAGAGAGAGAGAGAGAGAGGAAAGGUCACAGAGAAAGAGAGUAAGAGGGAGAGAGGAGAGGAAAAGACAAAGAGAGAGGAGAGAGGAGAGAAGACAAAGAGAGAGGAGAAAGGGGGUGAAAAUGAGGGAUAAGAGGUAAGAGAGUGAGAAGUAAGAGCAUAAGAGAGCGAGGUGGGGCUGAACAGCCCUUUUUAUGGUCUUCACUGUUGCUAGGUAACUGGGGAGGAGUUUAGCCUGAAAAUCAGAAGCUUGGGCCAUUGCCUAUGUGACUACUGACCAUGCUUCUCUUGUGGGGGGUGGUAACUUAGGCAGGGGCCAGAUUUCCAGGAGCAUGAGGGAAUGUCUACCAUGUCAUGAAGGUGAAUUAUCACCAUUCCCGGGGUUCAGACCUCAGCUCAACUGGAGACCAGCUUGUCUGUGCAUAGCCCAAUGACCCCAAUCCCCCCUCUCCUGGAACUUGUAACUGACUGUAGGAGUUAUACACCAAUGAGCUAACAGCUUGCCUGCAUGUUUGCUUGGCCCAACAUUCAGCUCUGCAGAAACAUGCAACAGAGAAGCUUGGUCAUGGUGUGUCUCCUCGAAGAUGUCACAUGGAAAAGGCCAAGUGAACAAGUUCUACAGAGUUGAUGGGGCCAGCACAGGGAAGGGACACAGGAAGGGAAUGACCCGUGUAAGGACCCUAGGGAGGAUUCCAGGUAGUAGGCAGGAAAAUAACCACAGAGGUCAGUGAACUUGGGAAGUUGAGGUAGUUAGAAUGAGGGUGGCUGGCUCCACUAUAGUGGCCUCUUAGCCAACAAACAAUGUGGGCCACAGGCUCAUUUACAAAUGGGAACAUUAUUAUUAUUUUUUUUUUUUUACAUUUGGCCACAUUUCUGUCUUCAACCCAGUUGUGGAAACAUACAGACCUUAUAAAAUACAUCUCCUCAUCUCACAACAAUUGUAAAAGGGAUAGGAUUCUUUAAAAAGUAGCCUGCAGUAGUAUAUGUUGAAUAAAUAAAUAAAUAAAUAAUAAAGUAAAUAAAUACUUAUUCAAGUAAAAAGCCUAAGGUAUAAUGUCUUCACAUAACUCAGCGCAAGAUAAUGUCUCACUUCCACUAUCCUUAAUCUUUACAUAUAGAUUUAUUUAUUUAUUUAUUUAUUACCAGCCUCUGAAUUUGUCAUCAGAAUACAGUCCUUAAAUCAGUCUCGUUGGUGGGAUUAAAAUAUUCAAUGAUAGCCUUACUUUUAAAAACAGCUCAUUCUUCAGCAAUUUCAAACAUAUAUAAUGCACGUUGGUCAUAUCUGCCCGUACCUUCUUUCCCCUCCAUGGAACUCUAUUUUUGUGGCCUACUGCAUUUCAUUAGGAUUGCUAGCAGGAACCUGUUUGUGGGGGUGGGGGUGAUUUUCACUUUAGCAAGGUUGACUUACCAGGAUCUUCUGCAUAGUUUACCAAUUCAAUGCUAAGGUUUCAGUAUGGUCGCUGCUGUACAUUUCCUAGGACACCAUACCCUGGAAGCUUGCUUUGAGAUGAUGAGACCUUUAGUGGUCUUUAGUGGAGGUGGAUCGUGAUGGUAGUACCUCCGUGAAGAGAUUAACAAAGAUCUUCUGGAACUCGAUUCAUUCUUAGCAGACUGAGCUGUAGUGAAGCAAGCUCAGCUGUCUCAGCUCUAUUUCUUUCACUUCUUAUUCUAUGUUCAUUGAUUCAUCCCCCCUCCUGCUACACACAUUGAAACUAUGAUGCCCUUUCUGGCUGUGUUGUGAUAUAGUAAGAUCACCUUAUCAGAACCAAGCAAAUGUUUGUUUCAUGUGUUUGGGUCUCUAAACUCUGAGCCAAAUAAGCCUCAUUUCUUUAUGAAGUACCAAUCUUCAGGUAAAAGAAAGUGAACUAAGAUGGACCUUAUUUUUUUUUUUAUCUUAAAAGCUGACUAUUUUUGGGACUCAUGUUUUGUAUCCUUGUUCCAGCUUUAACUCUAAUGCUUCUGGGGAACCAUGGAUGUUAAGGUCAGGGGUCAUCUCUAAGACCGAGAAUUCAAAGCAAGACUUUCAGCUGGUUAAAUGGCUAAAUAAUGGGUGUGGAUCUAUUCAGAUCAGGGAUCUACUUACUGAUGGUCAUAUACAUCCUUCAGUUCUGUUCAUAAAAACCACUUGUUUCAUAGUGGCUAAAGUGCCAUGGUUGCACUGAGCUGUGGGUCACAGCCGCAAAGUAUAGUUGCUUUCCUAAACUCAUUGUGCGAAUUUCAUGUAGUCUUGCUGCCAGCUGCUCUUUUUCUUCUCAGGCUUCUUCUCAGGCAUCUUAAUAUAUGCAGCUAUAUAAUCAUUUGCAUGGUCAUUUGCAUAAGAUCUCAUGCCCUCAUUUGCAUAUGAUCUCAUGCCCCUCUGGCGAGAAACUUCACAUUGCAUGGAAACUCCUGCUUUGCUACUCUUGAUGAUGCUUCUGUGACAUACGAGGAGUCCACUUGAAGAACAGAAUUAUGAACAUCCUGCCCAUUUCAGCAUCCAGACACACUGUUAGUGUGCCGUAAGUGUAAAUAAAGUUUUAUUGGAACACAACCCUGCUUAUCUGUUGAAGCAUUACCCAUGACUACUUUCAAUAACAACUAAGCCCUUUAGAUCUUUUGAUAACGUUCUUGUUCCUUCCUUUGCUGGCACAUUUUGGACACAUUCCAUCCAGGGAGAAAGUGACUUCACACUUGUAUAUGUGUGUUCACCACAUCAGCUUUUGAACAAAGUCCUCUCAAGGGCUCUAAAGCUCUGCUGUCCCAGGCAUGGCUCCUGUGUGUUUAUGCAAUCAGAUCCCCGGUCAGCUUCCACUGACUCAUGGAAGCUGGGACACAUGUGUUUAGCAUCUAUUUAAAUCACACUUAUUACCAUAGUAGCUAGGCAUUUGGGUAAGCUUGCUAUUUUUGCUAGAAAAUAAAAAAAACAAUUUAGAC
rnacentral:lncRNA from 1 species